CUACAGGCGCCCGCCACCACGCCCGGCUAAUUUUUUGUAUUUUAGUAGAGACGGGGUUUCACCGUGUUAGCCAGGAUGGUCUCGAUCUCCUGACAUCGUGAUCCACCCGCCUCGGCCUCCUAAAGUGCUGGAAUUACAGGCGUGAGCCACCACGCCCGGCCUAAAAUUAUUUUUCAAAACUACUAACAGACCAAGGGUUCAGCUAGCUUAACAGUCCACGAGUCUGUCUAGAUAUACUUUGAGCUUCACAUCCUUUUUUUAGUAAUAAGCUCCAUGCGGGAGGAGAUCUCGGAGAGAUUUCUUUUUGUAUCCAUGGCAACACUUACCUACUUAGAAGCCUCAAAUUAUCGUUCCUAGGUUACGAAAGUAAAAACUCUGGAUUAAAACAUUCUGCCCACUCCAUGUUUUAAAUAGAGAAGAGAUAAGAAAAAUCUGUGUUGGAAACCAAUGGUACACACACUGCUUCAGUAAGGGAAGAAGUCACCACACAUCCCAGCUGGAGGAGGGAACAUGACUGGCUCACUUCAGCACCCUCACCAUUGUUCCAGAUAUCCAAGGCCCUCCUUGGACCUCAACAAGACUUAAGCCGCUGCAGAGACGGUGUAAAUGUGGAGUGGCUGGUUGGGGACAGAGUGAAACUCCUGGAAUCAGAUGGUGAUCUGCUGAUAAGCUGGGUCUGUGCCAGCCAGCAGAGUCCAUGCGUGCAAGAGCCUGGAGUCUCCCCCUGUGAAGGCUUGGGGCUGGUUGGGCAGUAAGCCUCACAGUAAUCCUUAGUCCUGUUAGAUGGGAGUUCUAAAUUUAUUUUCAAAGAAUUAAUAUGUCAGUAUGUUCAAUUCUUUGCCUUCUACUUUUAAACUUAACUUCCUCAUAAAGCAACCUUUUUCCAUUACCUACCCCACCCUAACUCAUUCUGAUCACCUGCUCCACCCUAACUCAUUCUGACCACCUGCUCCACUCUAACUCAUUAGGAUUACCUGCUACCUGCUCUGCCCUGACUCCCGCCAAAGCUCUCAUCCCAUCAUUCUCUUUCAAUUAGCCAAUCGGAAUUAGUUUAGCCUGUGUGGUCUAACCCUAGCUAACAGGAGAAUGACACAGCGGCUGCAGCCAAGUUCGUCAGGGAUAAGAACCCCUUCCCCUCCCUUGUCCACCUGGGCGCUCACCAUUGUUCCAUCUGUAAGGGCGCACCGUUCUAUAUAGAAGUAACUUGCCUUGCUGAGAAUUAAAAAGAAAAUUUUAUAUUCGAGUGCUAUUUCUUUUGCGGCACCAAAACUUUAUGUGUAAUAGUCCACCUACUCUGCACUUCUUGCGCACCAGGCUCCUACUUUCUGUGACAUUUUUUCCUAGGUUUAUGUCCCAAUCACCAGUUCCUAUCAUCUCACUUCAUGUGCUU
rnacentral:lncRNA from 1 species